CGUUCCCGGGCCUUGUACCACACCGCCCGUCACACCAUGGGAGUUGGUUUUACCUGAAGACGGUGUUCUAACCCGCAACGGGAGGAAGCCGGCCACGGUAAGGUCAGCCGACUCGGGGUGAA
rnacentral:rRNA from 1 species